rnacentral:misc_RNA from 1 species
AAUUCUCAACUUCAAAAGUUGUUAUUAACUUAUUGAAGCUUGGAUGUGGAGGUUUGUUGGCGUCUUAGAUGUUCAGCUCCUCUUAAAUGCAUUAGUGGAAUCCCGUUUUGUUGGUCCAUCUUGGUGUGAUAAUUAUCUACGCUUAGUUUGGUUCAACUGUCAGGUUUGGGUUAAGGCUCUUAUCCUGGUUGUGAUAUCGCAUUAGUUUGCUUUAUCUGAUUGUGGGAAAUUAUCUGCUUUCUAACCGUCUGUACUAUGCAGACAAUUUAUUGACU